ensembl:lincRNA uncharacterized LOC102028619
GGAAGGGUCUUAAUAAGUCGUCAUGCCGAGCAAGAGUGAGGGUCUCUUUGUGACCUCAGUAGUGUACGUAUACUACUUCCAUCGCGUUCCUCCCUGGAGGGGAGGCAUCCUCCCCAGGACAGCCUGGUGUUUCAGCUGUGCUUGUUGCUGAUCAUUAUGAGACAAUGACAACAGUGUUGAAAUUGGCAGAGAGAGUGGCUGCAUUCCAAGCCAACUAUUGAGGCAACAUGAACAUUGGGAUUUUCCACAUGAUUCAAUUAGCACAGAUUUGGAAGGACAUUGAACCAGGACAGUCUUGAUCCCGCGUGGAACAUGAUCACUAAUUUCAACAUUCAAAAGAAUGAGCAUUACUUCCCAACCACAAAGGAUCCCCAAACUGGGAAGGAAUGGAUCUGCAACUCAUUUGUGAAUAAGCCAGGUGAUUCCACUUUGCCAUGCUUGAGGAUCAACUGCUUGAGACUGCACAUGCUGGUGGCCUUAAAAUUUUGAGAACAGCUGCUCUAUGAAGAUCUAAGCUUUGCAAGAAAGAGGAAGUAAGAGAGUAAUUUUGUAUGAUGAAAUUACUGUUCUUGUUCCCAGAAUACAAACACCUGGACACAAAGUAUUUAUAUAAGAAAAAAGAAAUAAGAUAGGUGAAAAUUAAAG